rfam:Lysobacter spongiicola DSM 21749 genome assembly, contig: BP04DRAFT_scaffold00002.2
CCGUCGGCCCCUCGCGACGCUAGGCCGAAAACUCCGCCAGGGCCGGAAGGCAGCAACGGUAUUGGCUGACGCGGGCGCCGAGGCAAGUUGGCGGGGC